UCCAUUAUGUAUAAAAUCCUUGGUGCCAGGGGUAUGAUAGACCAAGUCCUGGUCCCCAACAACAAAUUUUGCUGGUACAUUUACUUGAGACCCAGCCCCCCCAGUCCAGGCUGCCGUAAGCUCCCAGAAUCUGCGUAGGAAUAUAUAUAUAUAUAUAUAUAUAUAAUGAAUGUUUAGAUCAUAGGAAGGAAGCAAGCAUUGAUUUUUCAUAAGGAAAAAGUGAUAGGAGGUAAGUUACAGAUCGAACGCUCGGUAGUAAUUUAUUCCACCGGUAAAGCCAGUCUUAUCAAAUUUGGAGGCAUAAUAGUCAACAUCUUCUUCUGAUAACCAAGAUGGCAAGAUAACCGGAGCAUUGUCGUCUCCAAACCCUUUGCCUUUGGGGAAGU
rnacentral:lncRNA from 1 species